rnacentral:lncRNA from 1 species
GCUUCCGGCCUCGCUGUCUAGCAGGGCGCUGGCUGGUCCCUUCGUCCGGCGGGAACUUCGCGGCUAACCGACUCUCUGGAUGCCGGCCGCGCUGUGGUUUCCUCACAUAAGAAGCCAAGGAGUCGGAAAGCCCGUUGCCUGAGGCAGCAGUCUGGGAAUUUCGGUCCGGCGGGCCGUCCCCACCCACACGGACGGGGCGUGGCUUCUGCCAGAUGUGGGCGGGGCCCCGAGGGCCGUGGCGGGCGGGACCCGGGCCUCGGCCGGGCUGGCUUGGUCCCCGCAGGUGCCCCCCGCUAGCCACGAGCAGCCCCGGGAGGGUGGAUUCGGAGGCGCGGGGACUGGUGAGGGCCCACUGCAGGGCUGAGCGUCGCAGCGUGCUGUGGUUUUAGAUGAAUGCUCCUCCAAAUCCCUUCCAUGAAGCCCUCAAUCAGCGUCGUCCCACCAUGAGUAUUGGUGUUGGUCCUAAAGCACGGAUUCCCUUGGCUCCUCCCAUUCUCCCCUGCUGAGUUAGACAGCGGGGCCUCAUGCAGGAGGAGGAUUUGUACACAGCACAGCAGGAGGCUGAUGAGGGAGUCCGGAGACCCCAGCAGUCGUGGGCGUGAGCUGCUGGCUCAUCCGUGUGUACAACAUUCCAGACUGGAGUAAGGGAAGCCGCAGGCGCAGCCCCGCGAGUGCCCCUGCUGAGGCUGGCCCUGGGUGGCCCAGAUGCACCAGGGGGCCCACUGGGGGCAGACCUGGCAGGCCCUGUGGGGGUUGGAGGCGGGAGUGGGGGUACUUCCUACAGUGGUGUUUGGUCUUGAUGACAGCAGAGAGCACCACUGGCAUGAGGGACAGGUGACUCCGAUGAUGACGCUGCCAGGCCAGGAGCCAGGGGUGUGCCCAGCCCCUGGCUCCACCACAGCUGCACAUCCCGAACUCGGAGCUUCAGCAACUCCGAAGCCUGAAGCCGCCUCACGUGUUGUUGGAUGGAUGAAUGGAUAAACGAAAUGCCGUCCAUCCAUACAAUGGAAUCGUACUCAGCCUUAGAAAGGAAAUGCUGUCCGUCCAUACAAUGGAUUCGUACUCAGCCUUAGAAAGGAAGGGAAUCCUGACACACGUCACAACACGGAUGACCUUGAAGACGUUAUGCUGAGUGAGAUAAGCCAGCCACAAAAAGACAAAUACAGUACUGUGUGAUUCCAAUUAUUUGAGGUCCCUGGAGCAGUGAAAUGGUGGAGCGGAAUGGGGGUUGCCAAGGGCUGGGGGAGUGGGGAAUGAGGAGUUAGUUUUUCAUGGGGACAGAGCUUCAGUUGAGGAAGAUGAAAAAGUUUUGGAGACGGGUCACACAGCAAUGUGAAUUGUGCAUUAACAGUACUGAACUGCGCAUUUAAAGCAGGGCCUGCGUCUCUCCAGGCAGCACCUGUGGAAGGCAACUACCAUGUGCUGGUCACUGCCACAGCGGGAGGAGUCAGAGGUGAGGAAAUCUCAGUCCCAGAGCAGGGACUGGCAGCAGAGACAGGAGGUUUUUAGAGACUCUUCGGCCACAGCGGGACCAACAGCCCAGCUUGCCCAGCACUGAGUGGGCCUCAGAACACAGAGCUGCCAGUUUUCAAAGCAGGGAGCUGGCCCAGGCCUUGUUCCUGAACCAAUGGAUAAAGGCAUUCAUGCUCUGAAAUUGACAAACUGCCACACCAGGGCAGCGGGGUUCUAGGGUUCAGGGGCGAGCAAAGCUGGACACCAUCCCAAGGAACCUAUAGAGCAGCAUGGGGGCAUUGAAUGGCAGCCUCCAAAACAGAGAUGUCCACGGUCUCAGCUCCGGAACCGUGAAUGGGACCUUAUUUGGAAAAAGGGUCUUUGCAGAUGCGAUUAAGGAUCUCAAGAUGAGAUCGUCCUGGAUUUAGGGCAGGCCCUAAUCCAAUGGCAGCUGCCUUUACAAGAGAAAGGCAAAGGCGGAUUGGAGAGAGAGAAGACAGCGUGAAGACGGGGGUGGAGAGUGCAGCGACGUGGCCACAAGCCGAGGAACACCUGGGGCCCCCAGAAGCUGGCAGAGGCAACAAGGACCCUCCCCUAGAACGUGGGGGUCGGGGGAGCGCAGCCCUGCCUGCACCUGGGCUUCACACGGGUCUGUGGUGAACUGUUUCCGAAGCUUCAGGGCUCAUACAUCCAGUAAGGAAACUGGAAUUACAGUCGCUCCCUGCGGCGAGGACCCAGCAGGAGAGCCCGGGCUGAGAGCGGGAAGGCGUCUCCAGGAGCCACACCGAGGGUUAUCAGCAGAAAACACACGCCUGAAUGGGCGUGUCGGUGGAGCUGAGCCUGUCGCCUCAUCCAGUGCCACGGAGGAGCCCUCGCGGUGUCUCCCUGCAGAGGUCACACUGGGGUCACAACUGAGGCUGCCUUGGGCAAGGGCCAACCGCAAGGCUGUUUCUGAAACCAUAAAGUACCAAGAGAAUGCCCUGUGUUACAAUUAAUAAAUAGCAUUGUUAAUCGACGUGAACAAAGCCGGCCUUCAUUGCUUUAUUUGGUGGCCCAUUUGGUGAAGCACUUAAGAAGAGUCCUGGCCAACAUACACACAUC